UCUCACCCAAACUCUAAUUCUAGCACCAGUAUUUCUUAAGAAAGAAAGAAGAAAUAUCCUAUUUUUCUAAUAGCCCUCGACCUUGGAAAACUCUUGAAGACACGCUCAACCUUAUGUCCUUGCCCAGUUUCUGGACGCAUGCGAGGGACCAAAUUCUUUUCUUCUACGCAUGCCAGAGACCAAAUUCUUUUCUUCUACGCGAGCAUAAGCCUCUUCUUUGUAUUGUCCCGCCGCCCUCCAUCAGGAUAUUUUCUCAGGCCCUUGUCUGUAUAUAACGCUCAUCGGCCUGAUCCAUUUUCUGAAAAAAAUCUCAUUCUCUUUCUUAUCCAUCCAUCGCUCAGCAGGAGCUUAUUUCUUACACGUCUCCAGCGUUCACUCAGGCGUCUUAGCAUUCUUUUCUCUGCUCCUCUCGGCACUCGUCUCAGCACUUCUUCCUCAGGCCGCAACCCUUCUCUGCCAUUUGUGCUUGGCUCCCAGAAGCUGCCGAGCUAGACUCCUCGUCGUGCGCUGUUGUGCUGCUCCAUGUCCGACCGUUCGUCUCUAGCUCGCCAUGGCUGCUCCAGAUCCUGCUCGCGAGUUUCCCAGCGCCGUCAGCUUGCCGGCAUCCAGCUCGCCUGUAUCAUGGCCGUCGCGCCGUCUUUACUCGUUGGCCGUGCGUUGCCGCGCACACGCGCCCGACACCCCGGUUCCUCUGUACGCCUUGGUUGCGCGCGCCGAACUGCGUCCUUCGCAGCUCGCUGGCUUUAGCUGCAGGACACCACCAGCCGUGCCUUCGUAUCCUGUGUCCUCGACUCGUCCACAGUGUCACUCGCGAGGUGCUCGAGGUAAUGGCAGAAUUGAAAAUCGUAGCUGUGCUCAUGGCCUUCAAGACAUAUUAAGUUAUUGGUACGAUAAUUGAUCGUGUGAUGCGGAAGACGAGCCAAGUCGACCCCAAGCGCGGACUACUCCGCAUGGAGAUGCUGAUAAACGAACCUACCUGAUCAAGUGCUAGGACAAGGAUGAUCGUCAAGUGGACGUCACCUAACAACACUAACGUAGUGUUUAUUCCAGGCAAGCCCCGGUGCAUGCAACCCCUUCCUUGUGUUUUUAAAUAAUUUUUGCACACUUUAAGUCUAGUGAAAUGUGCAUUAGGUUUAUAGGAGUUGCUUGGAAACCCUUUGAUGCAUUGCCUUCCUUGAAAUCCAUACCUUUAUAGAUACUUCUGGUGAAGUAUCAAAAUAUGAUUUACAAAAAUGCUUAGCCCU